AAAUUUGUGUAGUGGCAGUAUUGUAGCCAGUGAGGUUUAUCUAAGGCUCCAUCAUGCUAAUUGUAACCUUUCCCCCAAUGACUUGAAAUAAAAUCAGCAUUGACAAUUUUUGACAGUCUAUGGAGAC
ensembl:snRNA U4 U4 spliceosomal RNA